UACGUAGGGUGCGAGCGUUGCCCGGAUUUAUUGGGCGUAAAGGGCGCGUAGGCGGGCUGUCAAGUCUGGGGUGAAAUCCCGCGGCUUAACCGUGGAACUGCCUCAGAUACUGAUGGCCUCGAGGGAGAUAGGGGCGAGCGGAACUAAUGGUGGAGCGGUGAAAUGCGUUGAUAUCAUUAGGAACUCCGGUGGCGAAGGCGGCUCGCUGGGUCUCUUCUGACGCUGAUGCGCGAAAGCUAGGGGAGCAAACGGG
rnacentral:rRNA from 1 species